GUGAUGGUAUUUGGAGGUGGGGCCUUUGGGAGGUAACUGGGCUUGGAUGAGGUCAUGGGGGUGGAACUCAUGAUGGAAUUGGAGCCUUUACAAGGGAAUGAAGAGACAAGAGCUCUCUUUAUGCCACGUGAGGAUACAGCAAGGCCCCAAUCUGCAAGCCAGGAAGAGUCGUCACGAGAACCAGACCAUGCAGGAACUCUGAUCGUGGACAUUUCAACCUCCAGAACUGUGAUCCAAAAUGCAUAUGUAUCUUUGGAAGAAACUCUGAAGUAAAGGCCGGAAUAUUCUUUGUUUAAAACAUUAAAAACAAAACAGACCAAAGCAUCAAGCAAGAAGUUUCCUGGCAAUAAACUAAGCACAGCAUUAUUUUUUAAGGAACACAAAUUAAGUGUUCAACCUGUGGCAAAUUUGUACUUUCUCCCUGAAUUAUGUUGUUAUCAAAGAAAAAAAUUGGGAAGCAUGGCAAAAUAUCAUCAAAACUGAAACUAGAAUUAAACAAAACUAAAUUAAAAUGAAAUAAAAUGAUGUCCAUUCUUAAUUCAUCCUCACAACUGGGCCACUAGUUUUAUGCAUCUUGGCAGCCAAUAUUUUUGUCUCUAGGGCAUAAAUUAUGCAUCAGGUACCUCUGAAACUCAGAGACCAAGGAAAAAGGAGGUAAUUUGGAAGGUGAAAUAAAUGUAAACAUUCUGAAGAAAGAAUCAAAUCUGUACUUCAGGGUCAAAGAUGAAAUUCAAAAGGGGUUGACAAUGCAUAGAAAAAAGUGCUGAAUUUAAAGUUGGUCUUUCUAGCCAACCUGUCUCAAUGAUCCAUAAUGUUGCUACCCUGGUGCCAGAUGGAUAUGAUAGAAGGCUCCUAAAAGGCUCUUGGUUUGAGGAAAGUGUUGCUUACAUACAACAGGAAUCUUGUGGGAUUUAAGAAGUGGGGAGAUGUGGAAGUGUAGCCACUCUCUUUUUCAUUCUACCAGUUGCUAUUUCAAUCUUUUUCAAGAGAAGGCUAAAAUUUUAAGAGAAGGCUAAAAUUUUAUGUAACUAUCAAGGAGAGGAACAAAAUUAUGGCUUUUAAUGCUCCCUUUGGGAAGGUCAAGAAUUUGGAGCUUUUAUAUUUCUCUUUCUUCUUAAUUUAGGUCUUGAUCAAUAUAACUGGAGCCUGUGGGGUAUGUGUGUAUAAAAUAAAGUUUAAAUGUACUGGUUUAAAAGGCUGAAAAGUGUGUUUAGUCUAGGUCCAGGUAGCAGAGCUCAUUAGUAGUAAAAACUGGACCAGGGACUAUUUCUGAUACCAGAUCCAGUCUUUUUUCUGUUGCUUCCAGCUACCUUUCAUCUUAGUCAUAAGUUUGUGAUUAAAUAGCAAAUGUGUUAGAGAUUUCACUUUAAAACUAGUUCAUCUCAGUGUGGAGCAACUCAUGUGAAACUCUGACAUUUCUUCAAUGAAUAAACCAGUCUGAUAAAUUUAGCAUCUUCUAACAUUAGUCAGCAAAAAUGUUUUUGACUUACUGAAAGGACACACAUUUUCCACAAAAAGCCCACAAUGAUCAUGCAUCCUAAGCAUUCCACACUAUUUAAGCAAUCUGUCUGUCUAUUUCAACAAACACAUGUAAGUUGCCAUCUCAGUGACAACUUUUCUCCAUGAAACACAAUUCUUCUUUAGCCUUGAUUUGAUGCAUUGGGUGCAUUUAGUUUUCUGCACUACAUUUCAUUUCCCUUCUAUGGAGUAAUAAUACAGUGCGUUAACAUUAAACCUCAAAAACAUUCAUGAAAAGGCAUUUUAUCCUACAUUAGCAGCAUCUUUAGAUAGCCAUAAAGCUCUUACUCUUCCCCUGCAAGAUAAAUAAGCAAACCCUUCAAAUGGCUGAGGCAUAGCAGUGCUCCUGAAGUAAGUGGAUGCAUAUAAUGAUCUGGUUCUCAUUUUCUAAAUAUAGACAAGGCAUGUUACGUGAUAGAGUCCCUUCCUAAAAAAAAAAAAAACCAGAAAAAUCUUAAACAUUCAUUUAUCGCAUGAAAAGUCCUAGCUCUUUUAAAACAUUCUUUAUCAUUGGCUUCCAGCCAGUGAUCACUGUAGUAAUUUGAGGAGAUACGUGUGUUCAAGAUGAUUUUUCUGUUUCUGCAGGGAUGCCGGGAUUAUUAAGUAUUCUACAUCAUGAGAGUAAUUACUGAUGUUCCUCAGUAGAAGGCAACCCAAUGAAUAGAAUUUUGUGAAACAACUUGUUUGGUAUAUAAUGGAUUCAAUUACACUUUUUAAAUUGUUUGGAAAUACACCUGUGACACUGUAAAUUAACAACGAUGAAGUGAGCCAGCUCUAGGUUGGGGAACUCCCAUAACAAAGCACAGGCCAGCUGUCAGGAAGGGAGUCCUGGUCGUGGAUGAAUCAGUACAACAUCGGGGAAUCCACGUCCAAGGAGCAGAAAUCAGAAGGGAGAGUGGAGUCCUUAAAGAGCUACCAGCAGAGAAAUGAAAGCUGGAAGGCCUGUUUUUAGAAAGAAAAGCUUUAAUGAGCUAAAAGAAAGUAAAUCCCAUGAGCCCUAGGAGUUUUGUAAAUAAAGAGACCAGCCUUCCCCUGGGUGUUAGGCUGUAAGCGAGCUUCCCGUUUAGAGAUGCUGCUGCAAUCACGUUUCAUGUGCAAAGUUAGCUCGUCUGGAUUCCUUGUACUCCCAAUUUUUCAAAGGAGUGACCAGACACCACCUGAAAAUGUUGUUCACAUUGCUUGGGAUGUGAUCCAUUUGAGAUUUAUUUGGAGUUUCAAGCAAAUGCGCCACAGAAGAUAAAGGGUAAUCAGUCACUUACCUCCAUGGGAAUGAAGUAGGCACUUUCCUCAUACUACCUAACUAAACAGCAGGGAAGGAAAGCAAGUUUUCUAGAGGAAUAGAUAGGGCAGACUGAGGCAGCGGAAAACAGCAUAGCCCUUCCUCUAAGGUGGCACCUGGGGGAACUACAGGAAGAAUGGUCAGGUAAGGGAAGUGAGAGGGCCGAUGUUAACAGCUUGCAUGUAACCUUGAACCCUGCCAGCCUACAAAGUCUCCCUACUCCAUCUUCUAUGGAUAGAAUGCUUGCGUUCCCACAUCCCCCCUAAAUUCUUAUGUUGAAGACUAAAUUUCCAACGUGAUGGUAUUUGGAGGCCGGGCCUUAGAUUUUGAGAGUGGAGGCCUCAUGAAUGGGAUUAGUGUCCUUUAAAAAGACACGAAAGAUGGUCUCCCUUUCUCUGCCAUGUGAGGGCACAGUAAGAAGACAGCUAGCCAUGAACCCAGGAAGGGUUACCAGAACUCCUCAAUCAUGCUGGCACCCUGAACUCAGACCUCCCAGCCUCCAGUACUGUGGGAAAUAAAUUUCCGUGUUGAAGCCACCCAGUCUGUGGUGUUCUGUUACAGCAUUCUGGACUGACUGAGACACCAUCCCAGUGUGGCUAUAAUUAAACUCUGGCUUUGUUCUCUACUCCAUCUCUCCCAACCCACCCAUUUUCUGCCCUGUUGUAGUGACAAUAAUCCAUACUGAUAAAUACUUCAGAGUGGGAGGCUUGAGUUAUGACAUAUGAAAUAAGCAGCAGCAAUGUAUAGAGUUAUUUUAUAUCUCAUGUUACUACAGAUGCUUACUGCUGUUCCCGGGGGACCCUUGGUCCUCCCUUUUAGGUAUUCAGCUAUUGAGAGUAGGAAUCAAAUCAGUUUUCAAUAUUAAAAGAUUUUCCCCCUCUUUAUCCCCACAGCAUGAGCAUAAGGCCUGGGAAAAGGGCACAUGUGAAACAAACAAAGCGACAGGGGUGGUACCUGCCAACAUGAAUGACCCUGGCUCUGGCUCUUGGAUGGAUUUUUCCAUUUAAAGAAAGAGGGUGAAGAUAAAUUAGAUAAUAAUAAGAAUGCCACUGCUGAACGCAACCGUGUGACCCUUUAAUUUUUACUAAAAUCAGCACAUGAG
rnacentral:lncRNA from 10 species